GACGAACGCUGGCGGCGUGCCUAAUACAUGCAAGUAGAACGCUCAAGGUGGAGCUUGCCUUUCUGGAUGAGUUGCGAACGGGUGCGUAACGCGUAGGUAACCUGCCUUGUAGCGGGGGAUAACGAUUGGAAACGAUAGCUAAUACCGCAUAACAGUGCAUGUUGCAUGACAUUUGCUUAAAAGGUACAAUUGGACCACUACCAAUUGGUCCUGCGUUGUAUUAGCUAGUAGGUGGGGUAACGGCUCACCAAGGCGACGAUACAUAGCCGACCUGAGAGGGUGAUCGGCCACACUGGGACUGAGACACGGCCCAGACUCCUACGGGAGGCAGCAGUAGGGAAUCUUCGGCAAUGGACGGAAGUCUGACCGAGCAACGCCGCGGGAGUGAAGAAGGUUGUCGGAUCGUAAAGCUCGGUUGUAAGAGAAGAACGAGUGUGAGAGUGGAAAGUUCACACUGUGACGGUAGCUUACCAGAAAGGGACGGCUAACUACGUG
rnacentral:rRNA from 1 species